rnacentral:rRNA from 1 species
UACGUAGGGGGCAAGCGUUGUCCGGAAUUAUUGGGCGUAAAGAGCUCGUAGGCGGUUUGUCGCGUCUGCCGUGAAAACCCGAGGCUUAACCUCGUGGCUUGCGGUGGAUACGGGCAGACUAGAGGUAGGUAGGGGAGAAUGGAAUUCCCGGUGUAGCGGUGAAAUGCGCAGAUAUCGGGAGGAACACCGGUGGCGAAGGCGGUUCUCUGGGCCUUACCUGACGCUGAGGAGCGAAAGCGUGAGGAGCGAACAGG